AACAGACACAUAAUCGAGAUCAGACCACUGACGUACAGGAACAGAGGGGGUUGAGGGCCCUGCUCGAUGAGCUUACAUGCUAGAGGGAGUGGGGUAUAGUGACACAAAGGGUUAAAGUAGGGGAAUUAAAUAGUUUGUUACAGAAGGGUUUAUUGAGUGCUUGGUAGGUCAUUUUUGACAGGUGAAGGAACGGAGUCAUGGGGUGGGGGAUGAGAAACCUGCUGACAGUUUAAUUGAUACGCUUUAAUAAAGAAGUGAGUUUUCAAAGAUUUUUUGAAGGAAUGGAGGCUGGGUGAAAGUCUGAUUGAGGAGGGAAGGGAGUUCCACAGAAUAGGUGCAGCCCUGGAGAAGUCUUGAAGGCGAGCAUCAGAGGUGGGG